UACGAAGGGUGCGAGCGUUAAUCGGAAUCACUGGGCGUAAAGGGCGCGUAGGCGGGAUGGCAAGUCAGUCGUGAAAUCUCUCGGCUCAACCGAGAAACGUCGGCUGAUACUGCCGUUCUUGAGGGAUGCAGAGGAGACUGGAAUUCCCGGUGUAGCGGUGAAAUGUGUAGAGAUCGGGAGGAACACCGGUGGCGAAGGCGGGUCUCUGGGCAUCUCCUGACGCUGAGGCGCGAAAGCGUGGGGAGCAAACGGG
rnacentral:rRNA from 1 species